GCAGUCGAACGGCAGCAUGAUCUAGCUUGCUAGAUUGAUGGCGAGUGGCGAACGGGUGAGUAAUACAUCGGAACGUGCCCUGUAGUGGGGGAUAACUAGUCGAAAGGUUAGCUAAUACCGCAUACGACCUGAGGGUGAAAGUGGGGGACCGCAAGGCCUCAUGCUAUAGGAGCGGCCGAUGUCUGAUUAGCUAGUUGGUGAGGUAAAGGCUCACCAAGGCGACGAUCAGUAGCUGGUCUGAGAGGACGAUCAGCCACACUGGGACUGAGACACGGCCCAGACUCCUACGGGAGGCAGCAGUGGGGAAUUUUGGACAAUGGGGGCAACCCUGAUCCAGCAAUGCCGCGUGUGUGAAGAAGGCCUUCGGGUUGUAAAGCACUUUUGUCCGGAAAGAAAUCGCACUUACUAAUAUUAGGUGUGGAUGACGGUACCGGAAGAAUAAGGACCGGCUAACUACGUGCCGGCAGCCGCGGUAAUACGUAGGGUCCAAGCGUUAAUCGGAAUUACUGGGCGUAAAGCGUGCGCAGGCGGUUGUGCAAGACCGAUGUGAAAUCCCCGGGCUUAACCUAGGAAUUGCAUUGGUGACUGCACGGCUAGAGUGUGUCAGAGGGGGGUAGAAUUCCACGUGUAGCAGUGAAAUGCGUAGAGAUGUGGAGGAAUACCGAUGGCGAAGGCAGCCCCCUGGGAUAACACUGACGCUCAUGCACGAAAGCGUGGGGAGCAAACAGGAUUAGAUACCCUGGUAGUCCACGCCCUAAACGAUGUCAACUAGUUGUUGGGGAUUCAUUUCCUUAGUAACGUAGCUAACGCGUGAAGUUGACCGCCUGGGGAGUACGGUCGCAAGAUUAAAACUCAAAGGAAUUGACGGGGACCCGCACAAGCGGUGGAUGAUGUGGAUUAAUUCGAUGCAACGCGAAAAACCUUACCUACCCUUGACAUGCCACUAACGAAGCAGAGAUGCAUUAGGUGCUCGAAAGAGAAAGUGGACACAGGUGCUGCAUGGCUGUCGUCAGCUCGUGUCGUGAGAUGUUGGGUUAAGUCCCGCAACGAGCGCAACCCUUGUCUCUAGUUGCUACGAAAGGGCACUCUAGAGAGACUGCCGGUGACAAACCGGAGGAAGGUGGGGAUGACGUCAAGUCCUCAUGGCCCUUAUGGGUAGGGCUUCACACGUCAUACAAUGGUGCAUACAGAGGGUUGCCAAGCCGCGAGGUGGAGCUAAUCCCAGAAAAUGCAUCGUAGUCCGGAUCGUAGUCUGCAACUCGACUACGUGAAGCUGGAAUCGCUAGUAUCGCGGAU
rnacentral:rRNA from 1 species